GCUCCGCGGUGCCAAGGACGAGCUUCGAAGCCUUGAGGGCACCGCCAUCCGAGCUGUGCUUUUGGAUGCCGAGAAGCAGCAAUGGAACAAGGAGCAGGUCAAGCACUGGCUCAAGAGCCUCAAGGACGUGCUGUACGACGUCCAGGACUUGCUCGACGAUGUCGCGACUGAAGAUCUGAGGUGGGAGGUCACCCCUGGAAACAAGAUGUCGAAAUCGGUACGCAUUUUCUUCUCUAAAUCGAAUCAGCUCGCACAGCGCCUCAAAGUGGCUAAUAAGAUUCAGGAACUUAGGAGGACACUGGAUGAGAUCGAAAACGAUAGUAAGUUAUUAAAAUUAGAGCUGCAUCCGGAGGAAACAAUGGCCAUCGGGAGAGGAAAGAAACCUGAACGUCCCUCACCUGAUGAAAAAAUAAUCGGUAGGGAAGAGGACAAAAAGAAGA